rnacentral:rRNA from 1 species
AGAGUUUGAUCCUGGCUCAGAUUGAACGCUGGCGGCAGGCCUAACACAUGCAAGUCGAACGGUAACAGGAAACAGCUUGCUGUUUCGCUGACGAGUGGCGGACGGGUGAGUAAUGUCUGGGAAACUGCCUGAUGGAGGGGGAUAACUACUGGAAACGGUAGCUAAUACCGCAUAACGUCGCAAGACCAAAGAGGGGGACCCUCGGGCCUCUUGCCAUCGGAUGUGCCCAGAUGGGAUUAGCUUGUUGGUGGGGUAACGGCUCACCAAGGCGACGAUCCCUAGCUGGUCUGAGAGGAUGACCAGCCACACUGGAACUGAGACACGGUCCAGACUCCUACGGGAGGCAGCAGUGGGGAAUAUUGCACAAUGGGCGCAAGCCUGAUGCAGCCAUGCCGCGUGUAUGAAGAAGGCCUUCGGGUUGUAAAGUACUUUCAGCGGGGAGGAAGGGAGUAAAGUUAAUACCUUUGCUCAUUGACGUUACCCGCAGAAGAAGCACCGGCUAACUCCAUGCCAGCAGCCGCGGUAAUACGGAGGGUGCAAGCGUUAAUCGGAAUUACUGGGCGUAAAGCGCACGCAGGCGGUUUGUUAAGUCAGAUGUGAAAUCCCCGGGCUCAACCUGGGAACUGCAUCUGAUACUGGCAAGCUUGAGUCUCGUAGAGGGGGGUAGAAUUCCAGUGUAGCGGUGAAAUGCGUAGAGAUCUGGAGGAAUACCGGUGGCGAAGCGCCCCUGGACGANACUGACGCUCAGUGCGAAGCGUGGGGGAGCAAACAGGAUAGAUACCUGGUAGUCCACNCGUAACGAUGNCGACUGAGUGUGCCCNGAGGCNNGGCUUCNNAGCUACGCGUAGUCGACGCUGGGGAGUACGC